CAACGCCCUGCGUCUAGCAAAAUCUGAGAGACAGAGAUAGCACCAGAUAAAACAGCUUGAAAUGCAGUGGAAUUUAUAUCAACGAAUGAUGGUAUAACGAAUUAACGCGUCAAUUCAAUGGAAGAAAACGAUUAAUGAUAUAACUAUUUACACUGGAAACCUGGAGGAGGUCCAAAAAUAGCCAAAUGGGACAAAAACAACGGAGUCAUCAUGAUGGUCACAGACUCUCUUGCAGAAUGGGAAUUAAAAAGAUUUAAGCCCAGCAUCCUUAUAGUGGGAAUGGGAAUGAGAAUGGAAGCAUAACUAGUUUUGACUUGAGUGCAGUUGAUUGACUCGCAAAUGGAAGAUUUUUAUGCACUGUCCGAAGGUCAACCGGGUGUCGUGUCGUCGCCUGACGCUGGAGCCAUGGACGCCCCCCUCGUUUUUACCGUUGCAUACACUUGAACUUGAGAGCGAGUUUUCGCUCCGAGUGGACCUGAGUGGACUGCAGGCGAUCUUUGCUGCUUUGUCAUGCAAAUGGCGGGCACCGCCGUCACGUGAGGCGAUUGCUAAUCAGUUGCCAAAAUCGAAUGCGACAAUUGUGCGGAAAUGAUUAGAGCCCCCCCGGGGCAGCAAAAGCUACAGGUAAUAACCGGUUUUUCAUAUACAAUUUUGUUUAUUCUAUCGUUUUGUUCUUUAUAAUAAGUAAAUAACCUAUC